GUGCUAGAUUUGGCAGUCAGGAACCAAGCGUGAACAAAAGCCAUGCGUGGAGCAAAGCGUGGCGUUGUUCCCCCUCAGACGACACAAAGAUGUUAAAUCUACACGUUGCACAGAAGAUGAAGCGUGAUUUGACAGAGAAGAUGACUGACAGGCCAGCAGCACAUACGUGUGCAGCGGGUAUGCCACAGAUGGCUUGGUGCCCUACACAUGGAGGCCGCCAUCUGUUUGCUGAAGCUUGUUUGCCACAGCUAUCUGAACAGUCUGCAGCCAUUUCAAUCUGUUCCACCACAGACGUGGAAUCCAGACGCGUCCCCGGUGAGACGUGUCAGCCACAGAACAAUGACACACUAACCAGAAUGAGAAAAAUAGACGUGCAGAUUACAACAGCCGCCCCCGCCCUCCUGGCCUGA
ensembl:lncRNA